UAGCUAGUUGGUAGGGUAAAGGCCUACCAAGGCGACGAUCGGUAGCUGGUCUGAGAGGAUGACCAGCCACACUGGAACUGAGACACGGUCCAGACUCCUACGGGAGGCAGCAGUGGGGAAUAUUGGACAAUGGGGGCAACCCUGAUCCAGCAAUGCCGCGUGUGUGAAGAAGGCCUGAGGGUUGUAAAGCACUUUCAGUGGGGAGGAGGAUGCUUAGGUUAAGAGCUAGAGUAUUGGACGUUACCCACAGAAGAAGCACCGGCUAACUCCGUGCCAGCAGCCGCGGUAAUACGGAGGGUGCGAGCGUUAAUCGGAAUUACUGGGCGUAAAGGGUGCGUAGGUGGUUAAUUAAGUUAUCUGUGAAAUCCCUGGGCUCAACCUGGGCAGGUCAGAUAAUACUGGUUAACUCGAGUAUGGGAGAGGGUAGUGGAAUUUCCGGUGUAGCGGUGAAAUGCGUAGAGAUCGGAAGGAACACCAGUGGCGAAGGCGGCUACCUGGCCUAAUACUGACACUGAGGCACGAAAGCGUGGGGAGCAAACAGGAUUAGAUACCCUGGUAGUCCACGCCGUAAACGAUGUCAACUAGCUGUUGGUUAUAUAAAUAUAAUUAGUGGCGA
rnacentral:rRNA from 1 species